UACGGAGGGUGCGAGCGUUGUUCGGAAUCACUGGGCGUAAAGCGCGUGUAGGCGGUCUCCUAAGUCUGAUGUGAAAGCCCGGGGCUCACCCCCGGAAGUGCAUUGGAAACUGGUAGACUGGAGUCCCGGAGAGGAGGGUGGAAUUCCUGGUGUAGCGGUGAAAUGGGUAGAUAUCAGGAGGAACACCGGUGGCGAAGGCGGCCCUCUGGACGGUGACUGACGCUGAGACGCGAAAGCGUGGGGAGCAAACAGG
rnacentral:rRNA from 1 species